AGAGUUCAGACCACAGCAGGAAGCUCUUGUCUGAAAUGCCUUGGACAGGUGGUAGCUACUAUGCCAUUCAGUUUGGGUUCAGCCUCUUGCUAGUAUAGUAGCAUACGGCAAAGAACCCCACCGUUUCCGCCGGAGAGCAUCACGGAAUACGCCCGCGGAAUCCCAUGGAAAGGCGCCAAGAUCACCGAGCGAUACGAAUCUGCCAUCCAUCAGCCUCGCCGCCGCCGAGCCCCCAGGCAAGUUGCUCAGAGCUCAGCGAGGCCAGCGAGUCAAACAAAAGGAUCGAAAUAUUCAGCUCAGGUAAUGGAGGAGGAGAAAACCAUAUCCAUUCUUGGGGUGGCCUGCGGCAUGAGCUUAUCUGCUGGAGGAGACAAACUAUAGUCUACGACAGGUUAGGUUAGUUAAAGCUGAAGACCGGGGCUAGUGCGGCUAAUCGAUUACGCUUAUCCGCAGCUGCGUGCCCGCGUGUCGACAGAAACGGAUGGGUAUGGGCAUGGCCGGGAGUUCGUUCUGACAAGAAAGAUUCGUAGGCUUCGGGCCCAGACGUGUGACAAGCGGCGCGAGAAAAUGAGAACACGAUGACCGGUGCAUUACGCCAAUAAACCGAGCAUUGCGUUUCUCUGCAGAGGUGGCAGUUUCAGGUUCGUUGUAAUCUUUUUUUUUUGAAAGACCAAAAUAAUUUUAGACAAGUCCAAUCUUUUUGACAUGUUUAAGACUCUCGAAUUAUUGAUAUAUUUAUGCUCAUUUCUCCUACAACUUUAUGUACUAAACAUGUUUAAAUUGAAAUAUUACUCCCUCCGUAUCAAAA